CAUGCAAGUCGAGCGGAGAGAGGUAGCUUGCUACUGAUCUUAGCGGCGGACGGGCGCCUCAUGCUUAGGAAUCUGCCUAUUAGUGGGGGACAACAUUUCCUUUGGAAUGCUAAUACCGCAUACGUCCUACGGGAGAAAGCAGGGGAUCUUCGGACCUUGCGCUAAUAGAUGAGCCUAAGUCGGAUUAGCUAGUUGGUGGGGUAAAGGCCUACCAAGGCGACGAUCUGUAGCGGGUCUGAGAGGAUGAUCCGCCACACUGGGACUGAGACACGGCCCAGACUCCUACGGGAGGCAGCAGUGGGGAAUAUUGGACAAUGGGCGCAAGCCUGAUCCAGCCAUGCCGCGUGUGUGAAGAAGGCCUUAUGGUUGUAAAGCACUUUAAGCGAGGAGGAGGCUACUUUAGUUAAUACCUAGAGAUAGUGGACGUUACUCGCAGAAUAAGCACCGGCUAACUCUGUGCCAGCAGCCGCGGUAAUACAGAGGGUGCAAGCGUUAAUCGGAUUUACUGGGCGUAAAGCGCGCGUAGGCGGCUAAUUAAGUCAAAUGUGAAAUCCCCGAGCUUAACUUGNGAAUUGCAUUCGAUACUGGUUAGCUAGAGUGUGGGAGAGGAUGGUAGAAUUCCAGGUGUAGCGGUGAAAUGCGUAGAGAUCUGGAGGAAUACCGAUGGCGAAGGCAGCCAUCUGGCCUAACACUGACGCUGAGGUGCGAAAGCAUGGGGAGCAAACAGGAUUAGAUACCCUGGUAGU
rnacentral:rRNA from 1 species